UUGGCUGGCAUCAUAGAGCAAAACCAAACAGAAGCACUGCAACACUGAGCACCUUUCAACGAUGAACUUACCUGUGUUCUGGAGCUCCGGCGAGGAAAACAGAACACAUCUCCCAAGUUAUUUUCUAACUUGCAGUUCAACAAAGAGAACUGCAAGCUACUGCUUGA